rfam:Candidatus Taylorbacteria bacterium RIFCSPHIGHO2_02_FTLL_46_13 rifcsphigho2_02_scaffold_13574, whole genome shotgun sequence.
CGGGAUGUAGUAUAGUGGCAGUAUACACGCUUCGGGAGCGUGAGGCCCGAGUCCGAUUCUCGGCAUCCCGA